AUAGGAAACAUCAAGGGAUCUAGUUAAAAUGCAGAUUCUGAUUCAGUGGAAGUGGGGAGAAGCCUGAGAUUCUGAAUUUCCAACAAGCUCCUAGAUGGUGCCCAU
rnacentral:miRNA from 1 species